rnacentral:rRNA from 1 species
AGUUUGAUCAUGGCUCAGAACGAACGCUGGCGGCGCGCCUAACACAUGCAAGUCGAACGGGCUAAAGGCGGGGAUGAGGUUUUAGGGGUUAGGGUGUAGAAAAAGAAACCAAUGCCUAAUCGCUAAUCCCUAAUCCCUGUCUCUAGUCAGUGGCGCACGGGUGAGUAACACGUAGGUAACCUACCCUCAGGAUGGGAAUACCCCCGAGAAAUCGGGCUCAAUACCGAAUAAAAUUUCAAGGUGAAAGUCUUUGAAAGCAAAGCUACGAGUAAUCGUGGCGCCUGAGGAUGGGCCUUCGGUCCUAACAGCUAGUUGGUGAGGUAACAGCUCACCAAGGCAAAGACGGGUAGCCGGACUGAGAGGUCGGCCGGCCACACUGGAACUGAGACACGGUCCAGACUCCUACGGGAGGCAGCAGUGAGGAAUCUUGCGCAAUGGGCGAAAGCCUGACGCAGCGACGCCGCGUGGGGGAAGAAGGCCUUCGGGUUGUAAACCCCUUUCGUGAGGGAAAAAGCGCCGAGUUGUCGGCAUGAUGGUACCUCAGGAAGAAGCCACGGCUAACUCUGUGCCAGCAGCCGCGGUAAGACAGAGGUGGCAAGCGUUGUUCGGAUUCACUGGGCUUAAAGCGCGUGUAGGCGUCCUGAUAAGUCAAAUGGGGAAUCCCUGGGCUCAACCCAGGAAUUGCAGUUGAAACUGUCAGGAUUGAGUUGUGCAGGGGAGGGCGGAAUUCCCGGUGUAGCGGUGAAAUGCGUAGAGAUCGGGAGGAAGGCCUGUGGCGAACGCGGCCCUCUAGGCAAUGACUGACGCUGAUGCGCGAAAGCGUGGGGAGCAAACAGGAUUAGAUACCCUGGUAGUCCACGCCCUAAACGGUGGGUACUAGGUGUGGGUGGCAGUAGCUAUCCGUGCCGAAGGGAAACCAUUAAGUACCCCGCCUGGGGAGUACGGCCGCAAGGUUGAAACUCAAAGGAAUUGACGGGGGCCCGCACAAGCGGUGGAGCAUGUGGUUUAAUUCGACGCUACGCGAAGAACCUUACCUGGGCUUGACAUGCUGGUGGUAGGAACCUGAAAGGGUAACGAUCCCGAGUAAUCGGGAAGCCAGCACAGGUGCUGCAUGGCUGUCGUCAGCUCGUGCCGUGAGGUGUUGGGUUAAGUCCCGCAACGAGCGCAACCCCUAUCCUCUGUUGCUACGAAAGGGCACUCUGAUGGGACUGCCGGUGACAAACCGGAGGAAGGUGGGGAUGACGUCAGGUCCUCAUGGCCCUUAUGGGUAGGGCUACACACGUCAUACAAUGGCCGGUACAGAGGGCAGCCAACCCGCGAGGGGGAGCCAAUCCCAGAAAACCGGUCGUAGUCCGGAUCGCAGUCUGCAACUCGACUGCGUGAAGUCGGAAUCGCUAGUAAUCGCGGAUCAGCUUGCCGCGGUGAAUACGUUCCCGGGUCUUGUACACACCGCCCGUCACACCAUGGGAGCGGGUUCUGCCAGAAGUAGUUAGCCUAACCGCAAGGAGGGCGAUUACCACGGCAGGGUUCGUGACUGGGGUGAAGUCGUAACAAGGUAACC